GAUGAACGCUGGCGGCGUGCCUAAUACAUGCAAGUCGAGCGAACAGGCGAGGAGCUUGCUCCUCUGACGUUAGCGGCGGACGGGUGAGUAACACGUGGAUAACCUACCUAUAAGACUGGGAUAACUUCGGGAAACCGGAGCUAAUACCGGAUAAUAUAUUGAACCGCAUGGUUCAAUAGUGAAAGACGGUUUUGCUGUCACUUAUAGAUGGAUCCGCGCCGCAUUAGCUAGUUGGUAAGGUAACGGCUUACCAAGGCAACGAUGCGUAGCCGACCUGAGAGGGUGAUCGGCCACACUGGAACUGAGACACGGUCCAGACUCCUACGGGAGGAAGCAGUAGGGAAUCUUCCGCAAUGGGCGAAAGCCUGACGGAGCAACGCCGCGUGAGUGAUGAAGGUCUUCGGAUCGUAAAACUCUGUUAUUAGGGAGGAACAAAUGUGUAAGUAACUAUGCACGUCUUGACGGUACCUAAUCAGAAAGCCACGGCUAACUACGUG
rnacentral:rRNA from 1 species